rnacentral:rRNA from 1 species
AUGUGCACCGACAGUUCAGACUCGAGGCAAAACAAGGGUGCAUCUCAUACAACAUGCGUUUGCGGGUGUCGUCUUGGUGGUUAUACCUUCCAAGGGAGCAUUCUCGAGCGGUUCGAGUUCGUAGAGGAAGUAGUUGUUCUCGUUACGGCAGUGGAAGUAGGAGUACAUGACGACGGUAGAGGUACUCGCAGCGGUAGUGGUACACGUUCGUUUCCGGAGAGGGGCGAUGGCCGCAGGACACUAGGACCCGAAGCAGAGGAGCAGGGGAUCGAGGCUCUGGCCAUCUCCUGCAGGUGUUGCGAUGGACGGCAUCGGUAA